rnacentral:rRNA from 1 species
GAUGAACGCUAGCGGCAGGCUUAAUACAUGCAAGUCGAGGGGCAGCAUGACUGUAGCAAUACAGUUGAUGGCGACCGGCAAACGGGUGCGGAACACGUACAGAACCUUCCUUCGAGCGGGGAAUAGCCCAGAGAAAUUUGGAUUAAUACCCCAUAGUAUUACGGAGUGGCAUCACUUUGUAAUUAAAGAUUUAUCACUUGAAGAUGGCUGUGCGGCUGAUUAGGUAGUUGGCGGGGUAACGGCCCACCAAGCCUGCGAUCAGUAACUGGUGUGAGAGCACGACCAGUCACACGGGCACUGAGACACGGGCCCGACUCCUACGGGAGGCAGCAGUAAGGAAUAUUGGUCAAUGGACGAAAGUCUGAACCAGCCAUGCCGCGUGGAGGAUGAAGGUCCUCUGGAUUGUAAACUUCUUUUAUAUGGGACGAAAAAGGGUCUUUCUAGAUCAACUGACGGUACCAUAUGAAUAAGCACCGGCUAACUCCGUGCCAGCAGCCGCCGCAGUAA